rnacentral:rRNA from 1 species
UACGGAGGGUGCGAGCGUUGUCCGGAAUCACUGGGCGUAAAGGGCGCGUAGGCGGCUUCUCAAGCGUGUGGUGAAAGUCCGGGGCUCAACCCCGGAUCGGCCGUGCGGACUGGGGAGCUCGAGUUCUGUAGAGGCGGGUGGAAUUCCGGGUGUAGCGGUGGAAUGCGUAGAGAUCGGGAGGAACACCAGUGGCGAAGGCGGCCUUCUGGACCAAUACUGACGCUCAUGCACGAAAGCGUGGGGAGCAAACAGG